GAUGAACGCUAGCGGCAGGCCUAAUACAUGCAAGUCGAACGGUAGAGGAAGCUUGCUUUCUUGAGAGUGGCGCACGGGUGCGUAACGCGUAUGCAACCUACCCUUUACAGUGGGAUAGCCCGGAGAAAUUCGGAUUAAUACCGCAUGGUGAUAAGAAUCGGCAUCGAUUUUUGUCUAAAUGAUUUAUUUUGGUAAAGGAUGGGCAUGCGUACCAUUAGCUAGUUGGUGAGGUAACGGCUCACCAAGGCGAUGAUGGUUAGGGGUUCUGAGAGGAAGAUCCCCCACACUGGUACUGAGACACGGACCAGACUCCUACGGGAGGCAGCAGUAAGGAAUAUUGGUCAAUGGGCGGAAGCCUGAACCAGCCAUGCCGCGUGAAGGAAGACUGCCCUAUGGGUUGUAAACUUCUUUUAACAGAGGCUAAAGUCGCGUAAUUUUACGUGUUUGCAGGUAUCUGUUGAAUAAGGAUCGGCUAACUCCGUGCCAGCAGCCGCGGUAAUACGGAGGAUCCGAGCGUUAUCCGGAUUUAUUGGGUUUAAAGGGUGCGCAGGCGGGCUUUUAAGUCAGCGGUGAAAUUCCACGGCUCAACUGUGGCGCUGCCGUUGAUACUGAAUGUCUUGAGUAUGUUUGAGGUAGGCGGAAUGUAGUGUGUAGCGGUGAAAUGCAUAGAUAUGCUACAGAACACCAAUUGCGAAGGCAGCUUACCAACCCAUAACUGACGCUCAUGCACGAAAGCGUGGGGAUCAAACAGGAUUAGAUACCCUGGUAGUCCACGCUGUAAACGAUGAUUACUCGCUGUUUGCGAUAUACUGUAAGCGGCCAAGCGAAAGUGAUAAGUAAUCCACCUGGGGAGUACGAUCGCAAGGUUGAAACUCAAAGGAAUUGACGGGGGCCCGCACAAGCGGUGGAGCAUGUGGUUUAAUUCGAUGAUACGCGAGGAACCUUACCUGGGCUAGAACGAUAGAUGCCGUAUGCUGAAAGGCGUAUUUCUUCGGACAUUUAUUGAGGUGCUGCAUGGUUGUCGUCAGCUCGUGCCGUGAGGUGUCAGGUUAAGUCCUAUAACGAGCGCAACCCCUACCCUUAGUUGCCAUCGGGUCAAGCCGGGGACUCUAGGGGAACUGCCUACGCAAGUAGAGAGGAAGGCGGGGAUGACGUCAAAUCAGCACGGCCCUUACGUCCAGGGCUACACACGUGCUACAAUGGCCGGUACAACGGGCAGCGACUCUGCGAAGAGGAGCGAAUCCUGAAAGCCGGUCUCAGUUCGGAUCGGAGUCUGCAACCCGACUCCGUGAAGCUGGAAUCGCUAGUAAUCGCGCAUCAGCCAUGGCGCGGUGAAUACGUUCCCGGGC
rnacentral:rRNA from 1 species